UCCACACCGAUACAUGUAGCACUAGUGCGUACCCUGGCGUAUGGCUGUGGCUGCUAAUCACAUUCGGAUUUAUUUUGAGAGAAGGUAGACGUUAAAAAUAUCUUCUGAUAUCCUUCAAAAGCACAUGCAGGUUCAACAUCCUUUGUAUCAUAUGUUCCUUUUCUGUGUAUACAUAAGUAGAGAAGACUUAGAAAAUAUGUCCAGUUUUUAGGGAGCUGCAUCCAGUUCCCACUUGUCCCCAUCUCAUAAAGGAGCCGAGGAUGGAUCAUAUAUGCAAUGUAGCCAGAAGAAUUUUAGGAGUACAAUGGUAGCGUAAGCUGGCAUGGUCUUGGAGUAGUGCCUAAAACCAUACACUUCACUGGGCAAUCAUACAGCAUAAGCCAAUCUGGGAAAUAUCAGGGCAGUGCUCAAGACUGGAAUUCUGACAUUCCAGCUGCAUCCCCUGUAAGUGUUAAAGAAACAAAUAACAAAGAAACACUGAGCAGGCAAUCCCUUCUCCAGGAGCGUAGGCUUCAGGCAUAAUUGUGAAUUAAUAACAAUUGGUAUGAGGCUAGCUACUUUUCUGAGUAACUUUGGAAGGAAAGGGAUCUGGAGUCUUCAGAGUAGGUAGCAUAUUAGUGCACAGGGAGGAGAAGGAGGGAGAGAGUAUUCCGUGAAGCAGAAAGAAAGUAUCUGUAUUGAAUCAAGGGUUUUGAUGUCCUAGUACUACACAUUUAAUUCCCAGGUGCACCUGUAUGGUGUUUUGCAAGAGUCCCCUGAGGAUCAAGACAGAGAUGAAGUGAUUGUUCUGCACAAAGCGUUUCCUUGCCAGCAGCUGGAUGCUUUGUCCUUUACACAUUGCUGCAGGAUUUCAGUCUGGCUCAUAGUGGCCACUUGCUUUCACCUUCACAGUCUCUGAGACAUUUCUGAAGAGCUUUCUGAAAUGUGGUGCGACAAGUCCUGAUGCAACAAGCAAAAGAAUUACGGGCAAUGGGGAGUAUGACUUCUCACAAGCACAACAGAGAAAAGGCAAGAGGAAGAACUUAUAAGGAAAAUUCUGAGUGGGUUUAAGGAAGAAAUUAUUCACCAUAAAAGCACUUAAUCACUGGAACAAGUAUCUCGGGAAAGUUCUGGAAUCAGCAACCUUGGAGAUAUUCAGAACUCCGGUGUACAAGACCCUGACAACCUGAGCUGGCCUUGAAGACAGUUUUGCUUGGAACGAUGCUUGAAAAAGAAAACCUUGGAAUUCUGGUUUAUUUCUAUUAUCCUAUAAUCUCAAUUACACCACUGAGUGCAUGGCCAGUGCAGAAAAAGGAUUGUUAGGUGAAUGCAAGAAACAUGUUGAAAUUGCAGAGGUGUCCUUGAUUGUUUUUCCAAGUCUGUCACAUGGUUACUACUUUUUGCUGCAGAGCUGCCAGUCUCUUAGGUGAGCAAAGCCAGCAGCCUCCUCAUCAGAAUCUGUGCCAUCACUGAAAAAUUCAUCCCAGUCAGCAACGCUUCCUUGUUAAUGAACAGCGACUGUGCAUCACCCUUGUAUGGACCACCGAGUCCUUCAAUCAAGAAGUUAUCUUCGACAAAUACCAAAAAUCUUCUUCACUGCUUGCAUCUCACCAUGAUGCUCUUCCAACUAAGAUCUGCAGUUCAUAGAAUUACUAGAGCUUAAGGAAUCAUUCUCUGCAAAGCUGCUUUCCAGCCUGUCAUGGUUUUGUGAUUUUCGGUUAUUGGUAUUCCACAUCAUAACAU